UUGCCAAGAGUCACCCUGUGAUUUUGCCAGUAAAAUAAUCUUGAUUAACAAGAUCAACAACAACGUUUAGUCACUUUAGGUAUUGAUGAACUGAGCAUAGCAAUUUUCCCACCCAUAAUUCCCUGGUGGUAGAGGAAGUGAAUGUUUAAAGAGGUGAAGUGAAAUGCCAAUUGAGUGGAAACUUUCAUCCUGGAUGGCAUGGAACUGCUUAUAUGUUGGAACUGCGCUGAUCUGGUCACUGGGGAUUGUGGAUGAUUUUCUUCUACCCAAGUUCCGUCAGUUUUGAGAUGGCUGAUAAAAUCAAUGUGAGAACCACAGGCUCACCCUUAGUUGGGACAGAAGGUGCUUGAUGGGUGGAUGCAAGAAAGACUGUGCUCUAUUUGCAUUUAUUUUAUGGUUCUAUUUGUAAUAGGAAUCUCCUAGCACCAUAUUCACAUUGUUGGGUUUAUGAAAGUCUAGACUACAUCAUGGAAUUCAAUCACAACAUACUUUCAUUAACUGACUUUGUGUGCAAUGGUUCAAUGGUACCUGAUUGUCACAUGAUACUGUGCAUGGUAUUAUCACCGAGGUACAAUGCAGAAUUGAGAUGACUGGAUUUUUCCCAUUCUCCUUUGUUGAUGAACACUUGGGCCAGUUACAAUCCUCUAAAUGUUGAUAAUGGCAUGGAACCUUAAAAUCAAUUAGGUUGAUGUUUUACCAUGUUCUCCAUUCUGAAUCUCCCCCUUCAAGUUGUGGCUAACGUCAAUGUUGUAAUUGGCAGGGAAAUAAUGCAGAACAUCUGAGGAUACCAAGACCUGUCUUGCUAAGACUUCCUUGGGAUAACCCAACAGCAAGACAUAAUCCACUGAGUAAAAUUAGAUACUUACCAAGGAACUGGGCUCUGGCCUGAUGUGGGCUAAGGGCCUGGACAUGCUGGGUAUUCUGAGUUACCAUACUCAGCCAAGAUUGUGGGCGCUGAUGUUGGUAAACCUUCACAGGGACGUAAUCUUGAACCUCACGACUUGUAAAGAUAGAAGGAAAUUAUGUUAGAAUUUCACACAGAAGGAAAUGAUAACUUUAUAGAAAAAAAUGGAAAUGUCAUCAACACUAAACUGAGCAAUCAAGGGAUUUGUUGAUCAGGCAAUCCUGACCUUUACUAUAGCCACCCAAUUCCCUGAUUCUCCUGUUUCUCCUAUGGUACACUGCAACCUCUGAAACGGCCUCACCCGCUCAAGAGGAUUCAGGUUAGACAAGAGCAAGUUUAAUCUGCCAGAACCUCUGAGUGUACGGGGCUCAUUUCCCAACUAAAUCCAAAAUCAAUGCAUAGAUUUCCCAUGGUGUUGAUUAGCUGUGACUCGUUUGGACUCUGUAAUUGUUAACUGUGUUCGAUCAAUAUAGACUCUCAUAUCAGUUUAUAUGGCUGCAGGAUUGGGAAGAAUCUAUCUGGUGGACGAUGGUGUCGAAUAUGUCUCUAUGAAUUAAAAAAAAUAAAA